UUAAUUCAAUUUUCAUUAUUGGUAGAUUUAGCCCAGGAAUUAGGAUUGUCUAUUUGACGCUUGCGUUCGUUUAAGCUGCAUUAAUUUCCUCCGAGUUAUCACGCAAGAUCACAUUCAGAACUGAAAGAAAACUGUCAGACGUCUGAUACUAAACAAAAUUGCCUUUGGCGAGUAUUCAAAUGUCUCAGUCAGGCGUGGGUGUGUCUCCAGCCCAGGUAUAAAAGACACAAGCUCGCGAAAUUCUCAACCAGCCGUCGAGGAAAUCCCAACGAAGAGUGAUUAAAAGGAAAACCUCCUUGACGUAUUGGAGAGAAAGAAAACUGCCGCUGUAAACGAAUCGUUACAGUCCAUGCACAAAGAUCAGCUGUUUCACGAUGAAAGAUCUUCAUAUCCUAGUUCUCUUGGCCUUUCUUUCCUCGUUCACGUGUGCUCCGAUCAGCCGCAGUGGUCGUUCACAACCUCGAUGGAAUGCACAGGCGCCGAGCUAUCUAUUGCUCCUCUAUAAUAAUUUUAUCACAGGAAACAACUCUCUUUCACAACUUGGCGCUACGCAAGUGCGCGGAGUUCAUGCAACUGUUCAAAUAGUAAACACUGUCUCAUCUGCCAACGUUGUCAACGUGUUGCUCCCAUUAAAUGGCACGAAUCCUCAUUUAAACCAAACGUUUCUGGUCAACCUUCACAUAUCGGUCAAAGCAAGACCCGCUGCACAGCAAGGUGAUUGCCUGUUGAUUCUUGUUGACAUCGAGACAAGUGAUCAAGUGGUGUCACAGAACAUAGCUUGUAGCAGCACAAGUGAUCUGGUGUUACCAGUAACGUCCUAUGUCAAAAAUUGGAUUACAAAUCCCAGUACAAACUCUGGAAUGAGAGUUCGCAUAUCCGCCAGAAACACAAACUACCCCCAAGCCAGUCUACCCUACAUCAGUACAGACCCAAAUAUCGAACCACCAUUUUAUAUCUUGUACCUUUAAAUGUUUGUGUAAAAAGACUAUCAUCUAUUAUUAUAUGAACGUUAUGUAUCGAGGUUUUAAACCGU